AUGGAUGUGAGAGUUGGACUGUGAAGAAAGCUGAGCGCUGAAGAAUUGGUUAAGAAUCCACUCUGCCAUGCAGAGGACACAGGUUUGAUCCCUGGUCCAGAAAGAUCUCACAUGCCAUGGGGCAACUAGUGAGCGUGCACUCUGCAGCCUGCGGGCCACAUCUACUGAACCCACGUGCUGCAAUUAUGGAGCCCGCAUGCCUAGAGGCUGUACUCUGCAACAAGAGAAGCCACCGCAAUGAGAAGCCUGUGCCUCGCAGCUAGACUGUAGCCCCUGCUUGCCACAACUAGAGAAAAGUUCAGCAACAAAGACCCAGCACAGUCAAAAAUAAAUAAAUAAAUAUUAAAAUAACACUAAAAAAAUAACACUAAAUAACACUAAAUCUACCUGUGCCCUGGACCUAGCACUCAAGAAUCUCUGGUAUUGUAAUCCCAGGUACUUGUAAUUCUUACAAACUCCCCAGGUGAUUGAAGCACUGAGGGUAUUAUUGCUCUAGAAUUUCACAACCAGAAACAAAGAACUGACACAGCCUCCAAUUAAACUUUCCGCCAUUCCAGAGAGUUUGAAAAGGAAAGAAGUGCUGCAGACCAAUUUUAAAGAAGGGAAGAGAGGCACAAGGAGGAGAAGCAAUUUUCCAAGGCCAGAGGACUGCUGAGGGCAAGAGGGCGGUGGGGUUGGAGGGAACCUCUUUCCUUUUGGUUCCUCUACAUCCUUUUUUUCUGGCGGCAUAUCACAGUAUCAGCUGUACUGAUGGCUUAGUUUUACACCAGGCGUGAGAGUUCUUUUCUUUUUCUGGGACGGCCUUUCCAAUUAGACCCAUGAUCCUGUUUUUGUGUGUUUUCUGGUAUGGGAGCCCAAAUCUUUCUUUUGUAAUUCUUACCUCUUUGCCAGCCCGAGCAGAGGGUUAUCUGUUUAGAAGGAGUCAGGGGCUCCAAGUUUGGUGUGUUCUGUUCAGAGCAUCACAGGUGCAUGUGCAGUGAAAACUCAUCAAUGAGGGUGGAAUUCACACCUAACUCAAUCUCAGCAUUCAAGCCACUGGAUCUACAACAGUUAAUUCUCUUUGAACACAGAGCUAAAUCCCCAAGGAGGCCUGGCCUGGAGAGGCCACCUGAACUGCUGCCUGCUUAAAGGUGGACUCGUGUUUCUUGAUUUAACUGGGUCAG
rnacentral:lncRNA from 1 species